CUCAAAAUCUUAGCCACUGAGCCACCACAUCCCUAAACCUGCCUCCUAUACAGCAAAAAUUAUAAUCGGAGAGAGUAGGCUUUUGGGCUGAAUUCAAAAAUUGUGUUUUGUUGUGAAACAGAUUUUGACUGCUGGUGGAGCUGAAGACAAGAAGUAAAAUAAAAAGGUGAAAAGGGAGUAAAAUAGACAGAGCAUCACUAUUUCAGAACGUAGCUGUCUUUAUAGUUUUGUGCUCAGAGGCAAACCUUUGUUUUUAUAAUUAUAAUAGUCCUUCAUGCAAAUGUAAUACAGCAUGCAGAAAGAAAUUUGAGGGAACUGGGAUAAAAUAAUUUGUGGUUAUAUUAUUUUAAAAAAUUCUAAUUCCUUCUGUGGAUCUUAUUCUAAAAACCUGUGUGUGUGAGAAGCACUCUACUACACAAGUUAGUAACAAAACCCUCUCUGUACUUCCAAAAAUCUCUCUUAAACAAAAGGGUUUUUUUGCCCAGGUCUCAUGAGAUUUUGGGGUAGGAGGAAGAGGAGAACCACCAGAGCUAUUAUAUAGUAGAGCCUGAUUUUUUUUUAAAAAAAGUUUGUCAAUCCUUGCCAUGAUUUGGUCAGAUCCUGCAGACAGAAUACUAGGCACAUGGCAAGCACACAAUGCUUUUCAAUUCACCUUGAUCUGAAGCCCCCUUUCCCCUCCCUUGUGAGAAAGAGAUAUGAGUGAGCUUCUUUGUAAUAUGUUAGCUGCAGAAAGCUCAUUUAUAAAAUCUGUCUGAUUGCUGAGAGAGUCCAAGCAUACUCUGCAUUUCUGCAGUGCAGGACCUAGGCUACAACAAAGAAAUUCAGCCUGGAGACAGCAGUGCUGUUUAAGCUUCCGUAAAUGCUGAGUCUGCACUCUGCAUUAAAACAGGCAAGGCAGGAAUGGUUAAAUUUUUUGCGGCUCUCAUGUACUAUCAAUGGUAAUUUGCACACAGUAUUUCCUAUUUGGCCUAGUGAGAAAGAAACCCACUAUGUGCUUUCCCACAUAGGCACUUGGUAUUUUAUUCAGGCAUCAUUUCAGGAUUGUCCUCAACCUUAAAGAUCAUAAACCUGCUCUUUAAAAUAUGAAUGCCAAGAUUCCUAGAAUGCUGGGUUUCAUUACAAAGAAGCCCUGAUCAUAGAUCAUCUCUAGCAUUUUAAAACAAAUGCAAAAGCUGCUUAAUCAGUUUCUAAAUCAGCUCUCAUAAGAGGAGUUGAAUUGCAUAAGAGGUUGCAAUCAGAUAGGCUGGAAUUUGGUAUAUUCAUAUGCUAAGUGGGGAGAGCUUAAGAACAGUUAGCAAUUUUAGCUAUUUUUACAGGGAGUUUCCUGUAAAAGAUACCCCCCCCCCCCCGCUUCCUUAGGUAUCUCUCAUUUCCAAAAUCCAAAACCUAAAAACAGUCCCUAUAAUAUUGCUUUAUUAAUUAUCAAAUAUUUGAACAGGCAUUUUUUCCUGGGUAUGAAGACUCUUGACCUGACUCUUGAUCAGAAAGGUUGGAUUAAAAGACUUCCAAAGCAUGUUAUAGACCUAUAAUUCUUUAAUUAUAAUUAUAUAAAAUAGGGAGUUACUUUCCAAACAUUUAUAGAAGGUUAUACCACACGGUUGGAGCAGUAAAGAUGGGGGUGGAAUUAUCUGAGUGAGAAACUAGAAAUCUCAGCCACAAAAAACAAGGUUUCUCUGCAUUAGAAAACCAUUUUAUCAAAGCAAGAGAAAAGGGGGGGGGGAUCAUUAGCAAUAAAAGCAGAAAGAUUAAAAAAUGUAGCUAUACAAUUCCUGUUUUUGUUGUUUAUGGUUAUUUCACGAUACUAGAAUUUGCACAGUAGUAAAGACUGCAGCUAUUUAAAGCAGAUUCUAGCUGCAGUGAAAAAGUGCAUUAAAAAACAUAAUCACUAUGAAAUUUACAGAAAUUAUGGCAUCUAGCUGUUCUCCCUUGAUCAUCUGAUGAGGAUAUAAAAAGGAAAUAUAUGCAGCAGCUCAAAACAGGAAAAAUAAGGCAAAGAGGAAUGUGACACCAAGGGCCAGGAACAUCCUUUUAUCACAAUUAGUGCCCCCGCCCUUUCUCCAUGGGAUUCUUGCUAUGUAAAAACUAAAAGAAUUCACAGAUUGAAAGAAGUCUCUUUACGAGGAUUU